UGGCGGCGUGCCUAACACAUGCAAGUCGAACGAGAUCCAUGGGAGCUUGCUCCCGGAAGAUCUAGUGGCGAACGGGUGAGUAACACGUGAGAAACCUGCCCUGGAGUGGGGAAUAACUCGGGGAAACUCGAGCUAAUACCGCAUACCCUCGGAUGGUCGCAUGGCCGACCGAGGAAAGAUUUAUCGCUCUAGGAGGGUCUCGCGGCCUAUCAGCUAGUUGGUGGGGUAACGGCCUACCAAGGCAACGACGGGUAGCUGGUUUGAGAGAACGAUCAGCCACACUGGGACUGAGACACGGCCCAGACUCCUACGGGAGGCAGCAGUGGGGAAUCUUGCGCAAUGGGCGAAAGCCUGACGCAGCAACGCCGCGUGCGGGAUGACGGCCUUCGUGGUUGUAAACCGCUUUCAGCAGGGACGAAAAUGACGGUACCUGCAGAAGAAGCCCCGGCUAACUACGUG
rnacentral:rRNA from 1 species